AUUAAGAACUUCAUAAGUCCCAUAAAGCAGAGAUUCUUAAUCUUUUUGAAAGAAUCACCUCCUUGAGCCAUUGAGGGAGUUAUCAUCGC